UACAGAGGGGGCAAGCGUUGUUCGGAAUUACUGGGCGUAAAGGGCGCGUAGGCGGCCUUCUAAGUCGAACGUGAAAUCCCCGGGCUCAACCCGGGAACUGCGUCCGAUACUGGAAGGCUUGAGUUCGGGAGAGGGAUGCGGAAUUCCAGGUGUAGCGGUGAAAUGCGUAGAUAUCUGGAGGAACACCGGUGGCGAAGGCGGCAUCCUGGACCGGCAUUGACGCUGAGGCGCGAAAGCCAGGGGAGCAAACGGG
rnacentral:rRNA from 1 species